rfam:Clostridiales bacterium KLE1615 genomic scaffold Scaffold390, whole genome shotgun sequence.
UCCGCCGUAAGGUGGAAUCUGAAGGAAGUCUGCGGCAAACCAUCGGUUCGACGGACAGAAAUCAUGUAUAAGGCUUACAGUCUGGAUAAGACUGCUGAUCAAGUUAAAGUCCAAAUGCUAACAAAAGGCUGUGAGUAGACAUGGCGAAUAGAUGAUGGGAAAGAUAACGAG